CAGUGGCCCGAUUAAACAGCUUCCGCUUCCGGGGUGGUGGUCCUUCUGUAGGGGUGAAGGCGAAGCCUCAGUCCUACUGUGUCAGAAAUUGGGCAGUGGGAGCAAAGUUGAGGUCAAGAGGAAAAUGAGUGCGUGCUACCUUGGCUAGGUGUUCAUGAUUUUUGAGGCUUCCCCCAACCUCCGCUGGUCAUUAGAAAAAAAUUAGAAUAACUUCAGGUUCGUCUUUGGAAAACUGAAAAGCCCCUUCCAAAGGGACAGCUGCUGGAGGUAGAGCCGCCUAGGCGCUAAGGAGGGUGGUGCUGGGGAGACCAAAGAAAAUCUGGCCCAUGGAGCAGAAUAGGGGAGGGUGAGAACACAGGGAAAGAAACGGAGAAGUGUGAAGCUGUAGGCCUUUGCCAGAAAUGCCCAGGUUCUUCUAGAAGACAGAUGCGUCGGAGGACCUAGUCUGAAAGAAGUGACAUUCUUGUGGAUUUCGUUACUUCUUUAUUUGAGAGAGGAGAGACGGAGGUAGCACAACUGGGGAGGAGAGGAAGAAGCAGGCUGCCCACUGAGCAGGGAGCCCACUGAGGGCUCUAUCCCAAGACGGUGAGAUCACGACCUGAGCCAAAGAAGGCUUGGGAAAUUCUCCAGCCACCACUGGCAGCAGCUGGCUUGUGAUGCCUGAAUCUUCACUCAUGUUUUGUUGCGGUACUUCUCAGAGUUCUGUUUCUUCUGAGAACAGGUGAUUAUCCACUAUCCACGUAGCUCACUAGGCCACCUUUCAAGUUUCUUGCUUACAGGUUGUCUUACCGGAGAGGCCCCCAUGUUCCCUCUUUAAAAACAACACAGCCAUCCCUGUUACUCUCUAUGCUCCUUUAUUUUUCUUCUCACUACCUGCCACAUGAUGAUUAAUUUGUGUAUUGCCUGACCUCUCCCUAUAGAAUGUCAGUCCCUUGAAGACAGGAAUUUUGUUUACUGCUAAAUUCCUAGCACAAAGACCAAUGCUUGAUUGGCCAUAUGGUUGGUACUCAAUGCUCAUUGAAUGAAUGUGUACCAAUUUGGUAUGUAAAUUUAAUUGUAUGUAAAAUUAAUGGCUUGGUUGAUUGAGCAUCUGACUCUUGACUUGACUCUUGGUUUCAGCUCAGAUCAUGAUCUCUCAGUCAUGGGAUCCAGCCCUGAGUUGGACUUAAUGCUGAGCACGGAGUCUGCUUGUCUCCCUCUUCCUCUCACUUGUAUGCUCUUGUGUGCUCCCUUGCUUGCUCUCUCUUUCUCUCUCUCUCUCUCUCUCUCAAAAAUAAAUAUAUAAUUCUUUUAAAAAGGGCACCUGGGUGGCUCAGUGGUUGAGCAUCUGCCUUUGGCUCAGCUCAUGAUCCUGCGGUCCUGGGAUUGAGUCCUGCAUCAGGCUCCCUGCAUGGAUCCUGCUUUUCUCUCUGCCUGUGUCUCUGCCUCUCUGUGUGUGAAUAAAUAAAUAAUUUUUUAAAAAUAAAUCUUUAAAAAAUAUUGUGUCAGGGCAAAUAACUCAAACCAAAGUUUCUCAGCCAGAAACCAGUGUCCUUGAUUCCUCCUUCCUCCUCAGCAAUCUCUUCCCCCUUCCUCACUAUCACUGACACACAUCGAUUCUUUUUUUU